UAAAAGGAUCAAAAGGAAGCAGCCACCGGGGGCAGGGGGUGGAUAAGAGAAGAAGGAUCUAAAGUAUGGGUCGAUCUUUGACUCUUGACCCUUUGAAAUGCAUUUGCUCUAACAUGCACAGCUUUCGGGCACCAUCGCCAGGCUCCUAGUGGUCUUCCUGCAAGCCCAUCUGUAUCAAUCUGUGGCCUGAUAAUUAAGCUCCAUGUACCUGAAGACGUUGGGGUCACGAAGAGUCGGGCACAACUAAGCAACAACAACCUGAAGAAGUGGAUUGCCAUUCAACUCAUACUGAAAUAAACCUGUUCAUCGUGAAGGUGCUACAAAUCUUUCGUUCUGUUUUCAUUAUUCCACUGAUGUUCUCAUUCCAUUCCUGUCUGUUGCCAAAUUCUCUAUCCUUACCCCAAGUGGAAAUGGAUGCAUU